AGCGAACGCUGGCGGCAGGCCUAACACAUGCAAGUCGAGCGCCCCGCAAGGGGAGCGGCAGACGGGAGAGUAACACGUGGGAACGUGCCCUUUGGUUCGGAACAACCCAGGGAAACUUGGGCUAAUACCGGAUAAGCCCUCACGGGGAAAGAUUUAUCGCCGAAGGAUCGGCCCGCGUCUGAUUAGCUAGUUGGUGGGGUAAUGGCCCACCAAGGCGACGAUCAGUAGCUGGUCUGAGAGGAUGAUCAGCCUCACUGGGACUGAGACACGGCCCAGACUCCUACGGGAGGCAGCAGUGGGGAAUAUUGGACAAUGGGCGCAAGCCUGAUCCAGCCAUGCCGCGUGGGUGAUGAAGGCCCUAGGGUUGUAAAGCCCUUUCGGCGGGGAAGAUAAUGACGGUACCCGCAGAAGAAGCCCCGGCUAACUUCGUGCCAGCCGCCGCAGUAA
rnacentral:rRNA from 1 species